GAUGAGCUCGCGUUCUAUCAGCUAGUUGGUGAGGUAAAAGCUUACCAAGGCUACGACGGAUAGCUGGUCUGAGAGGACGAUCAGCCACACUGGGACUGAGACACGGCCCAGACUCCUACGGGAGGCUGCAGCAGGGAAUAUUGUGCAAUGAACGAAAGUUUGACACAGCGACACCGCGUGUGGGAUGACGGAUCUAGGUUUGUAAACCACUUUCAGGAGGGAAGAAAAUGACGGUACCUCCACAAGAAGCCCCGGCCAACUACGUGCCAGCAGCCGCGGUAAUACGAAGGGACCUAGCGUAGUUCGGAAUUACUGGGCUUAAAGAGUUCGUAGGUGGUUGAAAAAGUUGGUGGUGAAAUCCCAGAGCUUAACUCUGGAACUGCCAUCAAAACUUUUCAGCUAGAGUAUGAUAGAGGAAAGCAGAAUUUCUAGUGUAGAGGUGAAAUUCGUAGAUAUUAGAAAGAAUACCAAUUGCGAAGGCAGCUUUCUGGAUCAUUACUGACACUGAGGAACGAAAGCAUGGGUAGCGAAGAGGAUUAGAUACCCUCGUAGUCCAUGCCGUAAACGAUGUGUGUUAGACGUUGGAAAUUUAUUUUCAGUGUCGCAGGGAAACCGAUAAACACACCGCCUGGGGAGUACGACCGCAAGGUUAAAACUCAAAUGAAUUGACGGGGACCCGCACAAGUAGUGGAGCAUGUGGUUUAAUUCGAAGAUACGCGCAGAACCUUACCAACACUUGACAUGUUCGUCGCGACUCUAAGAGAUUAGAGUUUUCGGUUCGGCCGGACGAAACACAGGUGCUGCAUGGCUGUCGUCAGCUCGUGUCGUGAGAUGUUGGGUUAAGUCCCGCAACGAGCGCAACCCUCACUUUUAGUUGCCAUCAUUAAGUUGGGCACUCUGAAAGAACUGCCAGUGAUAAGCUGGAGGAAGGUGGGGAUGACGUCAAGUCCUCAUGGCCCUUACGUGUUGGGCUACACACGUGCUACAAUGGUAUCUACAACAGGAAGCAAGACUGCGAAGUUAAGCAAAUCCCUAAAAGAUACCUCAGUUCGGAUUGCACUCUGCAACUCGAGUGCAUGAAGCUGGAAUUACUAGUAAUCGUGGAUCAGCGUGCCACGGUGAAUGCGUUCCCGGGUCUUGUACACACCGCCCGUCACACCAUGGGAGUUGGUUCUACCUUAAGGCAAGGUUUCAAACCCUUGACCACGGUAUAGUCAGCGACUGGGGUGAAGUCGUAACAAGGUAACCGUA
rnacentral:rRNA from 1 species